CGGAAGUCGAACAGGUCGGGCCUCAGCUGUCAGGCUGACAGGGAAAGCACUACGAAGGCUGAGGGUGAGCUGGAGCCUCUUCCAGCUCACAUCGGGCGAGCCGGUUACACCCCAAACUGGUCGCAAGUCAGUCGCAGAGCACAUGGAGGCAAGGGGUGUCGUGAAAACAAUCUCGAGCAGCAGCUGCUUUCAACUAAACUGUGUUAAAUAUGUCAAGCAUGUGGUGCGAAAGCUUCGUUAAACAGUGCAUCUCUGUUAGACAUCCGGUUGAGAUGUUGUUUGACAGACAAGUACAAGCAGGCUUUUAUCCUCGUUUCGGAGCAGGUUCUGGGAUUUUGAAUUAAACCAGAACGAGCCGCUAGGUGAUCACCCUGUUGAGUUGAUUGUCCCACUUUUCGAGGCUUCUAUGGCAACAGGCAGAGCAUGACAUUGUGUUCAAACAUAGGGUAGGGUGAUUAAUUGGAGUGCAUUUGUAAUGACGAUUAUUUUAUAUUUAUUUUAUUUCAAUUUAUUUCGUUAAACUUUUGACCCCCAAGAUAUUUCCUUUUUUGCUGAGAUCGCCCUACCUGACCACAUGUUAGAAUGCUAUAUUGUCCAAUGUUAAAAUACAUGUUUUGGGAAACGAUAUAUACAAAACGUUAUUUUCUGAUGACUCUCUUUAUAUCAUUAUCUAUAUAUUUGCGUGUGGAUGCAUGUGUGUAUAAAAGUUCUCCAAAGCCCAAACUUAAAUUAAAAGAAACACAAAAAUCAUAAGCAACUUGAAGCUUAUUUAGACCAAUUUAUACCUGGUGUGCAUCUCAAGUGGAUUCAAUAAAUAUCUCGAUACAUGGGAUGCUGGUUCAUAUAUAAGACACAAAAUGAAGGCAUUAUU